AUUCUACUCCCUCCGUUGCACAAUACAUGCCUUCUAUUUGUCAAAAUAUAUAUGUAUCUAGACAUGUCUUAGUAUAUAGGUACAUCCAUUUUUGGACAAAUGGAAGUCAAGUAUUUUGGAAUGGAUGGAGUACAAA
rnacentral:pre_miRNA from 1 species